rnacentral:lncRNA from 1 species
UUUUUAUAACAAAAAACAUAACAAAAUAAUUAUUUCAGAAAACAUAAACAAAAAAAUAUUUAGAAAAAAAAAAUAGAAGAAAUAUCCCACCGCUUAGUGUGGGUAUCAACCUUGUUAAGAUUAAUUUGUCAAUGUCUCAUCUUUCGGGGUGCAGAUUCGAAUGAAUUUAGACCGUAUGAAUGUUUUCUCCUAUUUCCCUACUAUGUUAUAUCUAUGUUAAUAUACCCUUUCUUUGUGUUUUUCUCAGUUAUAUCCCCAAAUUACAUAACUCGCACAUAAAGUCGACAAAAAAGAAAAGACGGCAUAGUACUCUAUAUGUGAGAGGAGGGUUUAGAACUCUAUAACUUUGAGACAAAAGGAAAUGACAUCAAUUUUUUUUUUAUCUAAGAUCGUUAUUGUAUAAAUUGAUCUAGACAUCCAGUAUAGUCAUAAUAUGUUUUUGAGAUACAGAGUAAAAAAAAAAUUUGCAAGGAAAAACAGAGAAAAUAAAAUAAAGAAGAAAAAAGUAUACUAAAUGAAAUUUACAAAUUAUCAUGCUCAAUUACCAUUGCUCCUCUCCAUGUCUCACCGGAGGCCACC